GUUAUUCGGUAAUACAUAUAUUAAAAUUGGAACGAUGCAGAGAAGUUUAGCAAGGAUGACACGCAAAUUCGCGAAGCGUUGCAUAUUUGU
rnacentral:snRNA from 1 species